UACGGAGGGUGCAAGCGUUGCUCGGAAUUAUUGGGCGUAAAGGGCAGGUAGGUGGUCUCAUUUGUCUGGGGUGAAAGCCUUGAGCUUAACUCAAGAAGUGCCCCGGAAACGGUGAGACUCGAGUGCUGGAGAGGGUCGUGGAAUUCCCGGUGUAGCGGUGAAAUGCGUAGAGAUGCGGAGGAACACCGAUGGCGAAGGCAGCCCCCUGGGUCGACACUGACGCUCAGGCACGAAAGCGUGGGGAGCAAACAGG
rnacentral:rRNA from 1 species